GGAGGGAUGGCAGAGUGGCUGAAUGCACCGGUCUUGAAAACCGGCAAGGGCUAAUACCCUUCUAGGGUUCAAAUCCCUAUCCCUCUACCA
rnacentral:tRNA from 1 species